rnacentral:rRNA from 1 species
UACAGAGGUCUCAAGCGUUGUUCGGAUUCAUUGGGCGUAAAGGGUGCGUAGGUGGCAUGGUAAGUCGGAUGUGAAAUCCCGGGGCUCAACCCCGGAACUGCAUUCGAUACUGCUGCGCUAGAGUACUGGAGAGGAGAUUGGAAUUUACGGUGUAGCAGUGAAAUGCGUAGAUAUCGUAAGGAAGACCAGUGGCGAAGGCGGAUCUCUGGACAGUUACUGACACUGAGGCACGAAAGCGUGGGGAGCAAACAGG